rnacentral:tRNA from 1 species
GCGGGUGUAGCUCAAUUGGUAGAGUAGUGGUCUCCAAAACCAUUGGUUGGGAGUUCGAGCCUUCCCGCCCGCG